UACGUAGGGGGCAAGCGUUGUCCGGAUUUAUUGGGCGUAAAGCGCGUGUAGGCGGCUUGGUAGGUCAGCUGUGAAAACUCGAGGCUCAACCUCGAGCUGUCGGUUGAAACCACCUUGCUAGAGUCCGGAAGAGGAGAGUGGAAUUCCUGGUGUAGCGGUGAAAUGCGCAGAUAUCAGGAAGAACACCAAUGGCGAAGGCAGCUCUCUGGGACGGUACUGACGCUGAGGCGCGAAAGCGUGGGGAUCAAACAGG
rnacentral:rRNA from 1 species